CAGUAAAUAGUUUAAAUUAAAAUAUUAAUUUUGGGGAUUAAUGAUAGGCAUGGCUUUUUACUGA
rnacentral:tRNA from 1 species